AUUGAACGCUGGCGGCAUGCUUUACACAUGCAAGUCGAACGGUAACAGGCCGCAAGGUGCUGACGAGUGGCGAACGGGUGAGUAAUGCAUCGGAACGUGCCCAGUCGUGGGGGAUAACUACUCGAAAGAGUAGCUAAUACCGCAUACGAUCUAUGGAUGAAAGCGGGGGACCGUAAGGCCUCGCGCGAUUGGAGCGGCCGAUGUCAGAUUAGGUAGUUGGUGGGGCAAAGGCUCACCAAGCCAACGAUCUGUAGCUGGUCUGAGAGGACGACCAGCCACACUGGGACUGAGACACGGCCCAGACUCCUACGGGAGGCAGCAGUGGGGAAUUUUGGACAAUGGGCGCAAGCCUGAUCCAGCAAUGCCACGUGCAGGAAGAAGGCCUUCGGGUUGUAAACUGCUUUUGUACGGAACGAAACGGCUCUGGUUAAUACCCGGGGCUAAUGACGGUACCGUAAGAAUAAGCACCGGCUAACUACGUG
rnacentral:rRNA from 1 species